rnacentral:ncRNA from 1 species
GACAAGACGUUGAACAAGAGGAGUAGCUAGCGAAUGUUUCUAGAGAGAAAGCGGAUAGGUGGAACGCUUUUAACGGCAGCUGGUGAAGGUAGCUUGGGAGUUUUUAUCUUGAAGAUUUGAUGUAGAGAUAAACGAGUCGUGACCGUUAACUCACGCUUAAAGCGGCAGUAGUUCUCAUUUUCUACUGCAAAUUAGGUGGUACCGCGUAAUUUACGUCCUAAAA